rnacentral:rRNA from 1 species
AAUCAACGCUGGCGGCGUGCCUAACACAUGCAAGUCGCACGAGAAAGGGACUUCGGUCCUGAGUACAGUGGCGCGCGGGUGAGUAACACGUGAAUAAUCUACCUUCGAGUGGGGAAGUAACUGAGAGAAAUACUUAGCUAAUACCGCAUAAUACCUACGGGUCGAAAGACAGCAAUGCGCUUGAAGAGGAGUUCGCGGCAGAUUAGUUAGUUGGCAGGGUAAUGGCCUACCAAGACGAUGAUCUGUAUCCGGCC